rnacentral:rRNA from 1 species
UACGUAGGGUGCAAGCGUUAAUCGGAAUUACUGGGCGUAAAGCGUGCGCAGGCGGUUUUGUAAGUCUGACGUGAAAUCCCCGGGCUCAACCUGGGAAUUGCGUUGGAGACUGCAAGGCUAGAAUCUGGCAGAGGGGGUAGAAUUCCACGUGUGAGCAGUGAAAUGCGUAGAGAUGUGGAGGAACACCGAUGGCGAAGGCAGCCCCCUGGGUCGAUACUGACGCUCAUGCACGAAAGGCGUGGGGAGCAAACAGG